rnacentral:rRNA from 1 species
UACAGAGGUCUCAAGCGUUGUUCGGAUUCAUUGGGCGUAAAGGGUGCGUAGGUGGCGCCAUAAGUCAGAUGUGAAAUCUCGGGGCUUAACUCCGAAACUGCAUUUGAUACUGUGGUGCUUGAGGACUGGAGAGGAGACUGGAAUUUACGGUGUAGCAGUGAAAUGCGUAGAGAUCGUAAGGAAGACCAGUGGCGAAGGCGGGUCUCUGGACAGUUCCUGACACUGAGGCACGAAGGCCAGGGGAGCAAACGGG